AUCUUCGAGGCCAGGUGAAAAUCCUGACCGGCGGUCACAGUCCGCAAGCCCUUUGAAAAAGGGGCAUGAACCGGUGAAAUUCCGGUACCGACGGUACAGUCCGGAUGGUAGAAGAG
rnacentral:ncRNA from 1 species